AAGUAAUGUGAAUUGCAGAAUUCAGUGAAUCAUCGAAUCUUUGAACGCACCUUGCGCUCCCUGGUAUUCCGGGGAGCACGCCUGUUCGAGUGUCGUGAAAUUCUCAAGCUUGGAUGGUUUUCCGUCUUAAGCUUGGUAUUGGGCUUUGCUGUGCCUUUCGUUGGAACAGCUGGCCUUAAAAGCAUUAGCUGAUCCUCAUGUGUGUGGCAUUGGUUCCGCUCAGCGUGAUAAUGAUCUUGACCGCUGGGGACAUCUUUCUAGAUGGCCAAUUCUCUCAUCUGGGUUGCUUCUAAUUUGGCUUUGACAGAUUCUGAAUCUGUUUUGCCUUCUGUUUUGACCUCGAAUCAGGUGGGACUACCCGCUGAACUUAAGCAUAUCAAUAAGCGGAGGAAAAGAAACU
rnacentral:rRNA from 1 species